rnacentral:lncRNA from 1 species
GACGAUUCUUUCAGUUGUGGCAACGUGAGAGAACACGACAAAUGGGAUCCUGUUUCAGUUGCACAUUCCAGAGAAAGAUCAUCGGAACAUGGCAGGAGGAGCAGAAGAGAUGACGUACCAGGGUUGGAGGGAAUCGAGACUUGAUUGCUUCUUUUCCUCUUAUGCACAGGUUCUUUGGUUCCUGAAGAAUUUUGGGUGGUCCAUGGAGAUUUCAAGACUACAAAUGUUGUGCAUCGUCAAUGUUCCAAGAAUUUGAGUAGUGAAUGUAUAGGUUUGCAGCCACUGGGAAAAGGUCUCAGUGGAACUGCAAAAGAUAACC